ACUUGCUGUAUUUUAAAAAGAUUUUUUUAUAUUUAUUUUUAUUUUUAUGUGAAUGAAUGUUUGCUUGAAUGUAUGUCUAUGUACCAUGCCUGGUCCCUGUAGAGGCCAGAAGAGGACAUCAGAUCUUCUGGAACUGGAGUUACAGGCAGUUGUGAAUGGCCAUGUUUGUGCUAGGAACCAAGCCUGCGUCCUCUGUAAGAACAGCAAGAGCUUUUAACUGUUGAGCCAUCUCUCCUACCCUGUGCAUAUUUUUUUUCUUGUUGAAUAAUAAGACACAACGGACAUACAUUAAUAUGAAAAAAUAGUAUAAUGUUUGAUAAGCUCAUGUUUGUAUCCACCUAUCUAAUUACCAAUCAGCUCCAGAUAUAGAACACUGGCCGUGUUUCAGAAAGUUCCUCAUGCUCCUUCGUCGUCAAUAUCCAUACCAUGCCUGUGCCUUCAGCAACAGUAGCUACUGCUUUGAUUGCUGCAUGGAUUUCCUUCACCUAAUUUGAAAUGCCAGAUAAAUGUAGUCAUACAAUAUGUAUUUUUUGUUGAUUUCUUACCUGUGAGAUUCACCAAUGUUUUUUCUCAUUUUUAACUUAUAUACAAAAUUUUCAUUAUGUAUGUUAAUUAGGUACUAUAUAAUGCUCAAUAUAUAUAUAUAUAUUCAUUGUAUAAUGUUAUGCAUAUAUCCACCUACUCAAAUGUUUAUCAUUUCUUUGUGGUUUAAGUUCUCUAAAGCCUUUCUUCUAGCAUAUCACUGUUAUCUGUGAUCAUAAUAGCGUGCAAUACUGGUUUAUCUGACCAUAACUUAGUGGUUCAUGCAUAUGAUUGUAACUUAGUUUCCAUUGAUCAGUCUUUUCCCACACUUCUCUCUUCUGUCUGUAGCCCAAUAACCCACCAUUUUACUGUCAGUUUCUGAGAUUAACUUUUUCAGAUCCCAUAAAUCACAUCUAUGUUAUUAAUCUUUUUAGAAUUGCAGUGCUGUGUUUUAUCCAGUGACUGAGUUUGACUACUUUCCUGAUGGAUUAUCUUAAAACAUAAUGAAAAUUAACUGAAUCUUAAACCAGAAUGAAAAUGAACUAAAAUGUUCUAUUUCUUUUCAUUUAUAUCUAAUAGUUUGUUUCUGUCGCCCAUAUUUAAUAGAUUCUCUUGCUAACAAAUCAAGUUAACAUUUUAAAACCUUUAUGUUCUUAGCAAAACUGGGGAUAAAAUAUGUAUAAGACAGUUGCAACAAAUAAAUAUCUAUGAGCUGUAUGCACUUAUUCAGAGUCUUGUCUGACAAAAUUAUCAGGAUCUUGCUUAAGUUCUAUGAAAAUUGAAUAGCCUACCCCAGUUCUUCGUUAUGUUUGUCUACUUUGUUUUGUGUUAGCAACAGGAAUUGGUUCCAGUGAUAGACUCAGUUAAUGAUUCAGUCUGUCAAUUUAAAGUUUUCAUUCAAAACCUAUUGACAUUAACAACCAUAUUCAGCACGUGCCUCCUCUCAAAGGUUUUAUUCUAAGCCAGGGGUUUUCACUCUUGGCACUACUGACACCCAGAGCUGAACCAUUCCUUUCCCAUCGUGGGGGCUGUUGUCUGCACUGUAGGAAAUUUAGCAGCAUCCUGGGCUCUACUUGCUGAGUACCAAUAGCCCACUCACAACCCUUCUCCUCAACUGUGACAAAAAUGCCUUUAGGUGUUGCUAGGUGUUCUCUGAAGGGCCAAAUCAUCUCUAGCUGAGAAUCACUGUUCUAAAGCCACUACUAUUUCCUAUGUUAAAGUCUAUAAACCUUUGGGGGCAACUUCCUGUGCACUCUUCAUAGGCAGAAUCUACAAGAUAUUUGAAGUGGUGAGGAAAACUCGAUCCAAACUUACAUAUGGCUUUCUUCUCUACUUGGCUUCAUGGAACACACAGACUUUAGGUAGAAAUGGGUAAGGUUUGCUGGUAGCUCCUGACGAGACAGAUGCAUCAGCCUUAACAAUUCUAGCUAGAGACAUUGACCUUUGUUUGCCUUUGGUCUUGGUUGCUUGGAAGACUGAGACAGAGCAAGGUCCCUUGAGACUGAAAGUGUAAGGGAUAGCCUUGGUAGCAUGGUGAGUCCCAGGCUUAACAAUAGAAUUAAAAUAGAAUGUACCAGCUUUGAAGACCUUAUAGUGGUUUUUCAAUUGCUUGAAAAUUCAAGAACUGAGACCACCAGGGUUUGGAAUUCUGCCUACAGACACACAAAGUCCAUAUGCUACAUUUAAUUAUGAGCUUUUUCCAUCAGGGUUCCAACUGCCAUUUGCAGCUGGGGUUUUAUCAGAGAAGAUUCUGCCUCCAAAAUAUGGGGGGGGAGCCAAGCCCCCAAAACCCAGUCCCAUCCCACCCCCCAAAUUGUCAGAACCUUCAAUAAUGAAAGCACAGUGCUCAUGGCUCUUCAUUGAUUUGUUUAGAAUUUGCCUUGGUCUCAGGAAGGCUUUAAGGUAGAUUUCUAUCAUGACAUGCACUAUCUUCAGUACUGGUUUAAAAUUCUGACCAGAGUGGAGAGGUGAAGGAGGGAAACCAUAAUCAGAAGACUGCUCACAAGAACUCUUCCUUCUCCACCUAAGCUCCCAAAAGAUCCUCCCCUAGCCAGGUAGUCCAGUGAACUCAUGAGUUAAUUAAAGACUUGGCAGCGUUAGCAUGAGAGCCUUGUCUGUCUUGCCUCUGGCCCUCUGUCUGCCUGGCUACCUCCUGGUUAGGAGCUCUUGGCAGCUCCCAAGUUGGGGAUGAGAUACCUUGGCAGGUUUGUGUGGGCAUCAAAGACAGGGAGAAGGAUCCCAUCCCAGUUUCUGGUAAUUCUGUCUGUCACUGGGUUUAAUGCUUGUGUUCAAAACAGUCCAUUUCUCCAUCUGUAAAAUGGAGAUAAUCCAUCCUCACCUUGCCGUGCUGUUGGGAGGAUUAAUUAGCUAAUGUUCCUCAAGUGCUUUGAAGAUGAAAAGGCUGUGGACAUGCUAAAUAGUAUUAAGGACAGGCAGUGAGUGCCUGCUGGAGGUGCUUUGAUUCUCCUCUUGUUCUUGUCAGCAGUGUGCUGCUCUUCACUUUAAUGUGUGUGUGUGUCAUGGAGCAAUGUGAGCAGGACAAUGUCUCAGCCAGCAGAAAACAAAGAGCGCACCUCCUCAUUUUAUGCCUUGGCAGUACUUUAGCUUCCCAGUUGGCAUGACUUCUGAAAGUCUUUGGUUCACAAAUGUUUUAAUCACCAAGUUUGGGUGAUUGUCUAAGGUGAGCUUCAGCUACUUUGGGAGAAGUAAGUGGGGUUAGGAGCAAUCAAGUCAGGUGGUUUUGAAUUGGAAGUCCCCAAAGAGAAGCAUUUCUUACAUUACAAUGGUGCUAAUUGUGCACAUGUAUGUACAUACCUCUCUCUCUCUCUCUCUCUCUCUCUCUCUGUGUGUGUGUGUGUGUGUGUGUGUGUGUGUGUGUGUGUGUGUGUUUCCAGACAGGUCAUAAGCAGACCCAAUUGAAAGAGAUACCAAGAGUAUCAUUCCUCAGGCCUGUCCACCUCUCUUUUCAAGAUAAGAUUUUUUCAUUUACCUGGAACUUACCACUAGGCUGGACUGGCUUGCCAGUGAGCCUCAGAAAUCCUCCGGUCUCUGCCUUUUCAAUGGUAGGGCUGUAAGAACACAUCAUUAUACCUGGCUUUUUAAAAUGUGGGUUCUGGGAUUUGAACUCCUGCCCUCUCACUUGCAAGGGAAGCAUGUUAGCAAUAGAGCCGUCUAUGUCUUUUUCAACACACUGUCUUCCUCCCUAGUCAUUCAGUUCAUCCUUUGUGGUCCUAGCAGUGUGACUAAGAUGGAGUCUAGAGAAAGGGGCUGGAUGCAGGGCUGGCUUGGGAGGCAUGUCUACUACUCUUGACCCACUAGCAUUUUUAAUCUUUUAAUUUUCUUAGAAUCCUUUAAAGGGGUGUUGUUCGUAAUAACCACCUUGACCCUCAAUG
rnacentral:lncRNA from 1 species